GAUGAAGAACGUAGCGAAAUGCGAUAAGUAAUGUGAAUUGCAGAAUUCAGUGAAUCAUCGAGUCUUUGAACGCACAUUGCGCCCCCUGGUAUUCCGGGGGGCAUGCCUGUCCGAGCGUCAUUGCUGCCCUCAAGCACGGCUUGUGUGUUGGGCCCCCGUCCCCGGUUUCCCGCGGGGACGGGCCCGAAAGGCAGCGGCGGCACCGCGUCCGGUCCUCGAGCGUAUGGGGCUUUGUCACCCGCUCUGUAGGCCCGGCCGGCGCCAGCCGACACCCAACUUUAUUUCUAAGGUUGACCUCGGAUCAGGUAGGGAUACCCGCUGAACUUAAGCAUAUCAAUAAGCGGAGGA
rnacentral:misc_RNA from 1 species